rnacentral:rRNA from 1 species
AUUGAACGCUGGCGGCAGGCCUAACACAUGCAAGUCGAACGGAGCGGCGGACGGGUGCGUAAUGCCUAGGAAUCUGCAUGUUAGUGGGGGAUAACGUUCGGAAAUGGGCGCUAAUACUGCAUACUAUCAGAUGAGCCUAGGUCGGAUUAGCUAGAUGGUGGGGUAAAGGCGUACCAAGGCGACGAUCCGUAACUGGUCCGAGUGGAUGAUCAGUCACACUGGAACUGAGACACGGUCCAGACUCCUACGGGAGGCAGCAGUGGGGAAUAUUGCGCAAUGGGCGCAACCCUGACGCAGCCAUGCCGCGUGAAUGAAGAAGGCCUUCGGGUUGUAAAGUUCUUUCGGUGGCGAGGCGUUAAUCACAGAAGAAGCACCGGCUAACUCCGUGCCAGCAGCCGCGGUAAUAC